rnacentral:tRNA from 1 species
AAGAAGUCACCGUAAAACUGCUAACUUUAACACCACGGGGCUAGCCCUCCGAACUUCUUA